AAUCAACGCUGGCGGCGUGCCUCAGACAUGCAAGUCGAACGCGAAAGUCCCCUUCGGGGGGACAAGUAGAGUGGCGCACGGGUGAGUAACACGUAGGUAAUCUACCUUCGGAUGGGGAAUAACAACCGGAAACGGUUGCUAAUACCGCAUAAUGCAGCGGCACCUAAUGGUGACAGUUGUUAAAGCGGGGGAUCGAAAGACCUCGCGUCUGAAGAGGAGCCUGCGGCGGAUUAGCUAGUGGUAAGGUAAUGGCUUACCAAGGCGACGAUCCGUAGCCGGCCUGAGAGGGGCGGUCGGCCACACUGACACUGACAUACGGGUCAGACUCCUACGGGAGGCAGCAGUCGGGAAUUUUGGGCAAUGGGCGAAAGCCUGACCCAGCAACGCCGCGUGAAGGAU
rnacentral:rRNA from 1 species